rnacentral:rRNA from 1 species
GUCCACGCCGUAAACGAUGGAUACUAGCUGUUUGGUUUUCGGACUGAGUGGCUAAGCGAAAGUGAUAAGUAUCCCACCUGGGGAGUACGGGCGCAAGCCUGAAACUCAAAGGAAUUGACGGGGCCCGGCACAAGCGGUGGAGCAUGUGGUUUAAUUCGAAGCAACGCGAAGAACCUUACCAGGGUUUGACAUCCUGCUAACGAAGUAGAGAUACAUUAGGUGCCCUUCGGGGAAAGCAGAGACAGGUGGUGCAUGGUUGUCGU